rnacentral:tRNA from 2 species
GCGGUUGUAGUCUAGUUUGGUCAGGACUCCAGCCUCCCACGCUGACAACCCGGGUUCGAAUCCCGGCAACCGCA